ensembl:lncRNA
GGGGGACUAAAUCAGACUGGGGGGACUAAAUCAGACUGGGGGGACUAAAUCAGACUGGGGGAACUAAAUCAGACUGGGGGGACUAAAUCAGACUGGGGGAACUAAAUCAGACUGGGGGACUAAAUCAGACUGGGGACUAAAUCAGACUGGGGGGACUAAAUCAGACUGAAAUGGGCCGUGGCCCCAACCUACCACAGCGUAGGGAUUGUAUCGGAGCAGACUGAGGGGUUCUGAGUCUAGUUGGUAUUACAGAAGAAGAGGAUAUAUCUACAAUAAAUAUCAUUAAAAUCCUCCACUAUACAAAGCUGAGGUUAUUUCACAUAAAAAGUAUAAAUAACAACGUAUUCCUAUAUUAAUAGUAGAAUGUAACCGUGCCUAAGGUUCAGCGUCUCAUGGAAGAGGGGUGUCUCCUAAGGUUCAGCGUCUCAUGGAAGAGGGGUGUCUCCUAAGGUUCAGCGUCUCAUGGAAGAGGGGUCUCUCCGAAGGUUAUAUUCUGUCACACAGAUGAUGCCUCUAUAUGUUUGACAUCACAUGACCUAUGACCCCUGUACCGAGGUGAGUGAACCAGGCAUUUAAAAUGUCAUUUCAGAGUUCUGACAGUGUUGUACUUGUGCUUGCCACAUACUGUAAAGCAGCGAUGUUAGGUUGUUACGUCACUAACUCUCAACAGGAAGUGACAUCAUUGACUAUCAACAUGAAAUUACAAUUAACUGUCAACAGGAAAUGGCUGCGGAGAAACCAGCGGACGUUGUGUGACGUGACCAGCUCAAGACCGUCAAUCAUAUAGGUUUUUGUAGUCCAUUCAACAGGAACAACUACAUUACCCAUCAGGCCUAGCUUCAGUGAGGACAGUCCUAGAGCAGAGGGUGAAUGGCUUUUUACCCUUCAGAAAUGUAGUGUGUUCUGGAAACCUCCUAAACUCCCUACUCCUUCUGUUUCUGCAGAUCUGAAGAGACUGGAUAGGUAUACAUCAGCAACAUGGUGAUGGCUUCAAUAGCCUCCCUAUGGACAUAGAGAAACUACUGCCAUAUUGCUUAUACCUAUUCAGUCCCUGUAGAUCUGUAGAUGUUGCAGGGGAUAGGAUAGUGGGGAUUCAGACUGAAGACCAGUGGUGUAUUCAUUAGUCACUGUUGCAAAACGUUUUGACAAUGGAAGACGGUUUGCAACGAAAAAUGAGAGUUUCUAUUGGACACAUUCAGAUAAGUCCCUCCCGUUUGGUUUGCUUCUGUUUGGUUCUAGUGAAUACACCCCAGAGAGAUUCCCCCUGUAGAUGACCUGACGAGAACCAUAACAGGAUGUCAUAGUAUUACAGUAUUGCAAAGAAACAUCAUAAUGUCACAUCAAAGAAACAUCAUAAUGGUUUUAUAAAAAAUAUCACAUUGGUUACAUGACUUGCCAAGUUAAAUAAAGGUUAAAGGCUAUAAAGUAU